rnacentral:rRNA from 1 species
AUGAACGCUAGCUACAGGCUUAACACAUGCAAGUCGAGGGGCAGCAUUUUAGUUUGCUUGCAAACUGAAGAUGGCGACCGGCGCACGGGUGAGUAACACGUAUCCAACCUGCCGAUAACUCCGGAAUAGCCUUUCGAAAGAAAGAUUAAUACCGGAUAGUAUACGAAUAUCGCAUGAUAUUUUUAUUAAAGAAUUUCGGUUAUCGAUGGGGAUGCGUUCCAUUAGUUUGUUGGCGGGGUAACGGCCCACCAAGACUACGAUGGAUAGGGGUUCUGAGAGGAAGGUCCCCCACAUUGGAACUGAGACACGGUCCAAACUCCUACGGGAGGCAGCAGUGAGGAAUAUUGGUCAAUGGGCGAGAGCCUGAACCAGCCAAGUAGCGUGAAGGAUGAAGGCUCUAUGGGUCGUAAACUUCUUUUAUAUGGGAAUAAAGUUUUCCACGUGUGGAAUUUUGUAUGUACCAUAUGAAUAAGGAUCGGCUAACUCCGUGCCAGCAGCCGCGGUAAUACGGAGGAUCCGAGCGUUAUCCGGAUUUAUUGGGUUUAAAGGGAGCGUAGGUGGAUUGUUAAGUCAGUUGUGAAAGUUUGCGGCUCAACCGUAAAAUUGCAGUUGAAACUGGCAGUCUUGAGUACAGUAGAGGUGGGCGGAAUUCGUGGUGUAGCGGUGAAAUGCUUAGAUAUCACGAAGAACUCCGAUUGCGAAGGCAGCUCACUAGACUGUCACUGACACUGAUGCUCGAAAGUGUGGGUAUCAAACAGGAUUAGAUACCCUGGUAGUCCACACAGUAAACGAUGAAUACUCGCUGUUUGCGAUAUACGGCAAGCGGCCAAGCGAAAGCAUUAAGUAUUCCACCUGGGGAGUACGCCGGCAACGGUGAAACUCAAAGGAAUUGACGGGGGCCCGCACAAGCGGAGGAACAUGUGGUUUAAUUCGAUGAUACGCGAGGAACCUUACCCGGGCUUAAAUUGCAACAGAAUAUAUUGGAAACAGUAUAGCCGUAAGGCUGUUGUGAAGGUGCUGCAUGGUUGUCGUCAGCUCGUGCCGUGAGGUGUCGGCUUAAGUGCCAUAACGAGCGCAACCCUUAUCUUUAGUUACUAACAGGUGAUGCUGAGGACUCUAGAGAGACUGCCGUCGUAAGAUGUGAGGAAGGUGGGGAUGACGUCAAAUCAGCACGGCCCUUACGUCCGGGGCUACACACGUGUUACAAUGGGGGGUACAGAAGGCGGCUACCUGGUGACAGGAUGCUAAUCCCAAAAACCUCUCUCAGUUCGGAUCGAAGUCUGCAACCCGACUUCGUGAAGCUGGAUUCGCUAGUAAUCGCGCAUCAGCCAUGGCGCGGUGAAUACGUUCCCGGGCCUUGUACACACCGCCCGUCAAGCCAUGAAAGCCGGGGGUACCUGAAGUACGUAACCGCAAGGAGCGUCCUAGGGUAAAACUGGUAAUUGGGGCU